CAAACUUCUCAACCCCACUUACUUAAUUGUAAGCUGUUGGGCUUGGAUCGUGGCUUCUGUCGAGUUGAAACAUACUUGACUAGGCUGAAAUGUAACAAGCUACAUCAAAAUGCUUUGCGGCUUGAACUAUCGUUGUAGAACUUUCAAAAUCUCGAUAGUGACGCAAAGAGGGUUGAACAAGCUUUACAAUCAAAGCAAACACUGUUGAAAGUUCAUCACAGUGCA
rnacentral:misc_RNA from 1 species